rnacentral:rRNA from 1 species
GUCGAAGCGGAAAGGCCCUUCGGGGUACUCGAGCGGCGAACGGGUGAGUAACACGUGAGCAACCUGCCCUAGGCUUUGGGAUAACCCUCGGAAACGGGGGCUAAUACCGAAUAUGACUACUGAUCGCAUGGUUGGUGGUGGAAAGUUUUUCGGCCUGGGAUGGGCUCGCGGCCUAUCAGCUUGUUGGUGGGGUGAUGGCCUACCAAGGCGACGACGGGUAGCCGGCCUGAGAGGGCGACCGGCCACACUGGGACUGAGACACGGCCCAGACUCCUACGGGAGGCAGCAGUGGGGAAUAUUGCACAAUGGGCGGAAGCCUGAUGCAGCGACGCCGCGUGAGGGAUGACGGCCUUCGGGUUGUAAACCUCUUUCAGCAGGGACGAAGCGAAAGUGACGGUACCUGCAGAAGAAGCGCCGGCCAACUACGUGCCAGCAGCCGCGGUAAGACGUAGGGCGCGAGCGUUGUCCGGAUUUAUUGGGCGUAAAGAGCUCGUAGGCGGCUUGUCGCGUCGACUGUGAAAACCCGCAGCUCAACUGCGGGCCUGCAGUCGAUACGGGCAGGCUAGAGUUCGGUAGGGGAGACUGGAAUUCCUGGUGUAGCGGUGAAAUGCGCAGAUAUCAGGAGGAACACCGGUGGCGAAGGCGGGUCUCUGGGCCGAUACUGACGCUGAGGAGCGAAAGCGUGGGGAGCGAACAGGAUUAGAUACCCUGGUAGUCCACGCUGUAAACGUUGGGCGCUAGGUGUGGGGGGGCCUCUCCGGUUCCCUGUGCCGCAGCUAACGCAUUAAGCGCC